UCACGUGGCUGAGCCUUAAGGACCGCACCAGGGCUUGUCAUCUUGAGUGUCCCCCCUUUCGAAGCUGCCCGCUCCAGCAUUCACGGCGGGGGGCGCCCCCGGAACCCCCGCGUGCACGUGCGGGGGAGCCGUCCCACGCGCGCGCUGACCAGGAGCCCACAGAGCCCCCCGAAGUCCUCUGAAGCCGCGUCGGGGUGCACAGACGACCCCGCGGCGGGGCACCGGGGGACGGAGGAGGGGGCCGGGGCCCUGGGGGACCGCCGCGCGGUCGGCCGACGGCCGAGCGCCCCUCCCACCCGCACACCAACCAUGACGAAGUCGUCCUUGCGGUAAACCUUCGGUGACCAAGUUAUGGAUGAAAAAUGUUGAAGGCAACAGGCCCAAGAUGCAAAGUCCUCCCAUUAGAGAUGGGAACAUGAAUGUGCCAAAGCUGAAAGAUGAAGGUGCGUGAGCUCCUCUGUCAACGACAGCUCUAUGUAGGAGAAGAACAGCGAGCAGAUGUUUCUGGGAAGAGAUUACCUUUUGUUUAUAUCUGACUCACAAACAUGACUCAAAUGAUUAAAAAACUAACCUUGCCAAUUAAAUCCCAUGUAAUUUCUAGCUUGUUUGUCAUGGAAAUAAACUGGAAAGGAGAUAGUUUUAUUUAA